UACCAUGUAGCCUGAUAGUUAAGGCGUCUGAUUCCAGAUCAGAAGAUUGAGAUUUUGAAUCCCUUCAUGGUUG
rnacentral:tRNA from 1 species